AUUGAACGCUGGCGGCAGGCCUAACACAUGCAAGUCGAGCGGUAGAGAGAAGCUUGCUUCUCUUGAGAGCGGCGGACGGGUGAGUAAUGCCUAGGAAUCUGCCUGGUAGUGGGGGAUAACGUUCGGAAACGGACGCUAAUACCGCAUACGUCCUACGGGAGAAAGCAGGGGACCUUCGGGCCUUGCGCUAUCAGAUGAGCCUAGGUCGGAUUAGCUAGUUGGUGGGGUAAUGGCGCACCAAGGCGACGAUCCGUAACUGGUCUGAGAGGAUGAUCAGUCACACUGGAACUGAGACACGGUCCAGACUCCUACGGGAGGCAGCAGUGGGGAAUAUUGGACAAUGGGCGAAAGCCUGAUCCAGCCAUGCCGCGUGUGUGAAGAAGGUCUUCGGAUUGUAAAGCACUUUAAGUCGGGAGGAAGGGCUGCAGGUUAAUACCUUGCAGCCUUGACGUUACCGACAGAAUAAGCACCGGCUAACUUCGUGCCAGCCGCCGCAGUAA
rnacentral:rRNA from 1 species